GAUCAGCUGGUGAUGCAGGAAGGCUUUGUAAGCUGCUAGGCUGGAGUGAUUGCGUGUUGCACAGGCGACGUCAGGUUAGGUUACAUUAGGUUUGUGUGACUCGCUACAUGCAGCUAGCACAUGUACUGUGAGAGAGGCCUUCCUGGUGCUGCCAGCCUGCAUAGUGCUGGGGGAGCACAGCUGCUGACGGGAGCACAGCUGCAGGUAUUUCUCAGUGUUGUCGUCUUUUUCGGGACACAGUCCUGUGAUGUCUAGAUGGAUUUUACAUUAUAAAAAGCAUAGCAUUGUUUUCCGAGUAAUGAAACACAGGUGUACCCAUUUUCCUGGCUAGUGUGCCUCCUGCCCUUCCCUGAGGUGAUGGCGCUGGCUCCUUCCCUUGGACAGCGGGUGCUGCUGGGAUUUAAAGAUGCAGCACUAGAAGACAAAGGUUCAUCGUGGGAUGUCAGCAAGAUAGGGGGUCUGCCGGAUGCCCCACCACACGUGACCCUUCUCUUUCCAUCAUGUCCUCUGUGUUCUUCAGUCCUGUGUCACGUUGUGCAAGUGUACUGCCCCUUAGAGGGUUCGCAGUACCACCGUGUCAUCCACGUAUUUGCAUGCAGUAAGAAGCCGUGCUGGGGGAAACAUGAGAGCUGGGUGGCAUUACGAUCCCAGGGCCUUGAGGAACAUAAGCCACAGAUCACACAGUCCGUGUCACAGCAGGAAAACAAGAUGUCUGCUGCUGAUUGGUGUGAUGAUGCUAAUAACUGGGGGUUUGAUAGUGAUGAACCUCUCACAACACCCGCAGUGACACAUACCACAAGUUGCCCUUCAGUGCCCCUGCAGACAGAUUGGACAUCACAGCUCCAGAACCUCUCACUCAUGGACCCAUCAGAGCCAGUACCGGCUUAUGACUCUGUAUUUCAAUCUUAUUAUCUGGCAGUGGCAGAGGAGGAAGAAUGUGAGUGGGACACGGACCUGGAUCACGCUCAGCGUCUUCUUCGGGAGUACGAGCAGCGAGAGGCAGCCAUAAUGGAGCAUGUGGAUAGCUUGGCGGGUAAAGGAGAGGGGGAGAAGUAUGAGAAGUGUGACUUGCAGAUCUGCAACCUGGUGUUCCACAAGUUCUUGAAGAAAAUCUCAUUAUGCCGACAGCAAAUCCUCAGAUAUUCUUGGAAUGGAAUCCCAUUAUACAUGAGCCUCCCCGAUGUUGCAUCCCAGCCUCUUCCUUGCACACGUUGCGGAGGAAGAAGAGUGUUUGAAUUUCAGCUGAUGCCAGCUCUGGUCACAAUGCUGCAAGGAACAAAAGCUGACCUGUUGCUGGAGUUCGGGACUGUUCUUAUUUUCACCUGUGAGAGGAGCUGUUGGGAGGUCAGCGACAAGACACCAGUACAGGAAGCCUGCUUUGUACAGGAAGAUCCAGACCAGAGAUACUUUAAAUAAGUGGAACUGGUAUAUUUUGUGCAUCGCCUUAAAGUGCACAGGAAUCCAAGAACAUUUACAUAGAGUAAUCAUCUUGGACAGAAUUACAGAUGCUCUGACUUAAACCCUCUAUGCCCUUGGGCAUCAACUUUAGCAGAUGACAUUGAAGGACUAGUAUCAUCUUGACUGGUGGUAGCAGCUGCAGUGCUAGUAUUCGGUUGUCGUUCCUGCUCUUCUCAUGACUGUUAUCUAUUUCAAUGAAAACACAGAAGUUGUACAAACAAAAGAACAUUUUUAUUUACUUUUUUUGCAACUGGCAACUGUCACUGCGGGAAGACACACCACUUAUAUAGAUGAGCAGGUUCAGAUCUCUCAAAUCCGAACCCCUGGAUCCAUGUCCGUAUCUGGGUCCAACUCGGGACUUCCCACCAGACUCUGAUCCGAGAUUGAGGCAAAACGUCAUCAUCCUGCUGUCUGAUCUCGCAGGUUUUGGAUUCUAUAUAACUCCUUAUGUCGCUGCCAUUUUCACUCUGGACUUGUAGAGUGAGGGAUACAGACCUCUGUCUGUCUGUGGGUGGUAGUGUACAGGGUUGCUGCUGUCCUGUGUUGUUCUGGGGUCAUGUCCUGUGCUGUUAGGGGUGCUGCUGUUCUGGGGUGGUGUCCUGUGCUAGUGUAAUGUUCUGUUAGGGGUGCUGCUGUACAGGAGGAGUGCUGUUCUGGAGUGGUGUCAUGUGCUGUUAGGAGUUCUACUGUACUGUGCUGUACAGGGGUGCUGUCCUGUGCUGUUAGUGGUGCUGCUGUCCUGUGCUGUACAGGGGUGCUGUUUUUGGGUGUCCUGUGCUGUUUGGGGUGCUGUAAAGGAGUGCUGUAGAGGGGUGCUGCAGUCCUGUGCUGUACAGGGGCACUGUUCUGUGUGCUGUAAAAAUAUAGGGGUGUUUUAAAAAUAAAGGAAUGUCGUGGCCCUGUCCUGUAUGCUGUAAAAAUACAGAAGAGCUAUAAAAACAAAGAAA